rnacentral:miRNA from 1 species
GUAUGUGGGACGGUAAACC